rnacentral:misc_RNA from 1 species
UCUCCGUUGGUGAACCAGCGGAGGGAUCAUUACUGAGUUUACAACUCCCAAACCCACUGUGAACAUACCUAUAGUUGCUUCGGCGGGACCGCCCCGGCGCGCCCUCUAGGGGGCUUGCCCGGAACCAGGCGCCCGCCGGAGACCCCAAACUCUUGUUUUUUUUUCCCGCACCCUGCGGCAGUAGAUUCUCUGAGUGGCAAACGCAAAAUAAAUUAAAACUUUCAACAACGGAUCUCUUGGCUCUG